CGUGUUGUCAGGUUGACCGAGUCCAACUCCAUACCAAGAAAAGAGAUCCUCUGCACUGGAGAGAGUUUGCUCUUUUCCCAGUUGACCCGAAGUCCCAACUGGCUGAGGUGACUGAGCAGCAUGUCCCUGAGCUUGCACAACUGCUUCCAGGACUGAGCCAGAAUGAGCUGGUCGUCGAGAUUGAGAAAUGUGCCCUGUUCUCUCAUGGGAACAAGGGCUGCCUCCGCAACCUUCAUAAACACGUGGGGUGACAGGGACAGCCUGAAGGGAAGGAUCUUGUACUGAUAUGCCCGUCCCUCAAAGGCAAAGCGGAGAAACUGCCUGUGCCUAUAGGGAGAAUCGAGACAAGAAAGUAUGUGUUCUUCAGGUCGAUCACUGCAAAACAAUCUCGGGGCCGGAUACAUUCGAAAAUGCAUUUCUGUGUCAACAUUUUGAACAGUAGCUUGUGAAGGCUCCGGUUCAAAACUCGCAGGUCCAAGAUUGGUCGUAACCCACCGCCUUUCUUGGGUACAAUGUACAAAGUAAGGGCUGUAAAACCCCGACCUCAUAUUGGCUGGAGGGGCCGAGUCUAUUGCAUCCAGGACUGCGAUUUCUGCCCAUAAGAAAGGGGCAUCGCUGGUCAGCACGGAGGUGAACUGGUGAACUGAACUUGGGUGGACGCUGAUCUGACAGUCCGAGCCAGCGAGACGGACUGGGAAGCGCUAGCCAGGCUCCCAGAAACCGUCCAAGCAGGACCAGAGGAACUACAGACGUAUCCAUGGUGGGGCAGUGUGGUGGAAGACAGGGACCCGACUCUGAAGGCAUAGCAUCCCGAAGUGGGGUCUGGGUGUGUGGUGCAACACCUACCUGGAUCCACGGUUGGGCAGGGGGUGCAGGGCUUUUUUUGUCCAGCGGCACCGUAAGCCUUGGCCGUAAGCAGGAACGAGAACUCACAGGCCCUGGAUGGGAUACGGGGGUUACCCCUCUAGGUGGAAGCGCUUCUUGGACACAAUUGCAUCGCAACCACGCGCUCCACCGGGGGGACCACCGCAUAUCCCCUGGUCACCCCACCAUCGAGGGUAGUGAGGGAGAAGGCGGCACCGAAUGAAACGGCAGGACCCCCGUACAAGGAACCGACAUGUUCACCCGGCAGCUCCACAGCUUGGUCACAAUGAUCAUACUGCCACAGUGACAGCAUGACUCAUCCACGAAGGCUGCCUCAGCAUGUUCAAGCACCAGCUAG
ensembl:lncRNA